UGAAUACGAGAUGCUACGGCGUCGAAGCAGUGUAUGUCAGACUUCCAAGAAAAGCUCGCAAUGUCAUAAAUAAAGAAUGCCUGUACCAUAACCGACACAGGUGGGUAGGUAGAGUAUACUAAGGGGCGCGAGAUAACUCUCUCUAAGGAACUCGGCAAAAUAACUCCGUAACUUCGGGAGAAGGAGUGCCUUCUUUAAGAAGGUUGCAAUAACAAGAUCCAAGCAACUGUCUAUCAAAAACACAGGUCUCCGCUAAGUCGUAAGACGAUGUAUGGGGGCUGACGCCUGCCCAGUGCCAGAAGGUUAAAGAAGUUGGUUAGCUUUUGCGAAGCUGAUGACUGAAGCCCUGGUGAACGGCGGCCGUAACAAUAACGGUCCUAAGGUAGCGAAAUUCCUUGUCGGGUAAGUUCCGACCCGCACGAAAGGCGUAAUGAUUUGGAUACUGUCUCGGAGAGGGACUCGGUGAAAUAGACUUGUCUGUGAAGAUGCGGACUACCUGCACCAGGACAGAAAGACCCUAUGAAGCUUUACUGUAACUUGAAAUUGAAAUUGGACUUUAUUUGCGCAGUAUAGGUGGAAGGCGUUGAAAGUAAUCUUGCGGGAUUAGUGGAGCCAUCAGUGAGAUACCACUCCUAUAAUGUUAGAUUUCUAACUUUGGAUCAUGAUCUGGUCAAAGAACAGUUUCAGGCGGGCAGUUUGACUGGGACGGUCGCCUCCCAAAUGGUAACGGAGGCGUACAAAGGUUUCCUCUGAACGGGUAGAAAUCGUAUCUAGAGUGUAAAGGCAUAAGGAAGCUUGACUGUGAGACCUACAAGUCGAGCAGGGACGAAAGUCGGUCUUAGUGAUCUGACGGUGCUGAGUGGAAAGGCCGUCACUCAACGGAUAAAAGUUACUCUAGGAUAACAGGCUGAUCUCCCCCAAGAGUUCACAUCGACGGGGAGGUUUGGCACCUCGAUGUCGGCUCAUCGCAUCCUGGGGCGGUAGUACGUCCCAAGGGUUGGGCUGUUCGCCCAUGAAAGCGGUACGCGAGCUGGGUUCAGAACGUCGUGAGACAGUUCGGUCCAUAUCCGGUGUAGGCGUUAGAAUAUUGAGAGGAGCCUUCUUUAGUACGAGAGGACCGAGAAGGACAUACCUCUGGUGUACCAGUUAUCGUGCCAACGGUAAACGCUGGGUAGCUAUGUAUGGAGAGGAUAACCGCUGAAAGCAUCUAAGUGGGAAGCCCACCUCAAGAUGAGUAUUCUC
rnacentral:rRNA from 1 species